GAAGGAAGGUAAGCAUGGUAAUGUACAAAGAAAUUGAAGGGUCAACAUGUCUUGUCUCUCUGAUUUGAGGGCCUGGUUUGGUCUUUCUUCA